rnacentral:rRNA from 1 species
GCGUGANGGAUGACGGCCUUCGGGUUGUAAACCUCUUUCAGUAGGGAAGAAGCGAAAGUGACGGUACCUGCAGAAGAAGCACCGGCUAACUACGUGCCAGCAGCCGCGGUAAUACGUAGGGUGCGAGCGUUAUCCGGAAUUAUUGGGCGUAAAGAGCUCGUAGGCGGUUUGUCGCGUCUGUCGUGAAAGUCCGGGGCUUAACCCCGGAUCUGCGGUGGGUACGGGCAGACUAGAGUGCAGUAGGGGAGACUGGAAUUCCUGGUGUAGCGGUGGAAUGCGCAGAUAUCAGGAGGAACACCGAUGGCGAAGGCAGGUCUCUGGGCUGUAACUGACGCUGAGGAGCGAAAGCAUGGGGAGCGAACAGGAUUAGAUACCCUGGUAGUCCAUGCCGUAAACGUUGGGCACUAGGUGUGGGGACCAUUCCACGGUUUCCGCGCCGCAGCUAACGCAUUAAGUGCCCCGCCUGGGGAGUACGGCCGCAAGGCUAAAACUCAAAGGAAUUGACGGGGGCCCGCACAAGCGGCGGAGCAUGCGGAUUAAUUCGAUGCAACGCGAAGAACCUUACCAAGGCUUGACAUGUUCUCGAUCGCCGUAGAGAUACGGUUUCCCCUUUGGGGCGGGUUCACAGGUGGUGCAUGGUUGUCGUCAGCUCGUGUCGUGAGAUGUUGGGUUAAGUCCCGCAACGAGCGCAACCCUCGUUCCAUGUUGCCAGCACGUCGUGGUGGGGACUCAUGGGAGACUGCCGGGGUCAACUCGGAGGAAGGUGAGGACGACGUCAAAUCAUCAUGCCCCUUAUGUCUUGGGCUUCACGCAUGCUACAAUGGCCGGUACAAUGGGUUGCGAUACUGUGAGGUGGAGCUAAUCCCAAAAAGCCGGUCUCAGUUCGGAUUGGGGUCUGCAACUCGACCCCAUGAAGUCGGAGUCGCUAGUAAUCGCAGAUCAGCAACGCUGCGGUGAAUACGUUCCCGGGCCUUGUACACACCGNCCGUCAAGUCACGAAAGUUGGUAACANCCCGAAGCCNGGNGGCCUAACCCUUGNGGGGGG